GCCGGUGGCUUCCGGCGCAGCACAGCAACCUCGGCCCCGCGGCGCAGCCACCCGCGGGAGGCGCAACGCUGCGGACUUGGCUUCCGAGAGCUCCGCCCGCUCUUCCCACGCUCCGCGCCCGCGCCGCGCCGCGCCGCACCGCGCCACCAUGCGGCCAAGCCUGGCGCUGCGCCUGCUGGGAACGCGGUCGCCUCCGCCCCUCCAUGCGAAAUGCGGCAGAGGAUCUGAUCUGAGCAGCCGGCCAACCACAUUCUCGCCGGCAACAGGCCCGCCCUAACCUGAGGGCGGCUCCAGAACUGUCCUUUUCUUCACUGGCCCUGGCGCCGCUGAUCUUCCAAAGCUUCUCUCUCAUGACACCUCUUGGAAGUUUUCCGACUUAGACCCGUAGAGAAUUGGAGAACUAUGGACCCUCUCUCUAGAAAAAUGCUCACCCACACAGAAGCAGAGUUUUGCAUGGUAUUGCAGGGCGUUUUGAAACUUCUCAAGUGUCAAGACCGCCAACUUCAGACCUCUACAGGUGCCUGCGGGAGGAUGUCUGUUUUGCAAGAGGCAAAGGACAGAGGAGAUCUUAGAUGCUUGAAAAGCACAGGAGGAUUCUGAGAAGUGUGGACAGACAGAGUUAUGAUGCUGCCAGAGGAGUAACACCAUGCCAGGCAUUACUGGCCAAUGAAGACCCACCUGACAGCAAUCCCUGGAUGCUCUGGAAAAGAAAUUGGGCCAUACCUCCUAGACUGCACUGGAUCCAACUUACUCCAUUUCAACUGACACUCCAACUAGAGCUUCGAGUCCUGACUUCAAUCAAGUUGAGGAUUUCAACCUAGAUCUUCAGUCAAACAAAUCCCGUCUAACAUGGACUGGAUAUAAUCCGUUGGAGACUUUCACUAUACUAACAUUUUCUUCCCAUAGGACCCCACAAGGCUACCAUCGUCCCAUUUCAGCAGGAAGUAAAUUGUAGGAUGCUACACCCCUGUUCCCCAUUAUUGUCUAUUAGGGUAGUGUAAGCCUAGUUAGGAAUAACUUUCCUAUUGUUUAGGGUUGGAAUUGGAAGGAGGUGUUCAAGUUCAGAUGACUUUAGGGUUUAGCUGAAAUAGACAUAGUUAGGAUGUGCAAUAACAGAUUAUUGUAUCUUCUUGUAUUUCACCUUUAUGAUUGUUAAUUUUGGAUAUUUUACACUAUUAAGUUUUAAUCCCCUUUUAGACUAAAAGGGGAAUUAUAGGGCGACACCGUAGCCACACUUCCUAAGGGCUGGCUACAGGUGUGCCUGACCACGCCUAUCAAGGCAUGGUCAAGGUGAGGUCAGGGUGACGUGGGAGGGCUUCUUAAGCAACCACAAGCCCACGGAACCAGCUCGUCCCCUUCGGCUGCCCCUUCUCUCUGGCCUCCCUGCCUUGCUGCCCCUGGGUACACUCUGGCUUGCAUUUAACUGGUAUUUAUCUGAAUAAAGGUAUCUUGAAUCUACAAGCAUUCUCCUUCAAUGUUUGUGUGUGACUGUAUGAAU
rnacentral:lncRNA from 1 species